rnacentral:antisense_RNA from 1 species
AAAAAAUUAGUUAAUAAUUGAUAUAGUAAUGAACAUAUGAAAAAUAUGAGUUGAUAAAGAAAAACGAACGAUUAGUUGGUGCCAGUAAUUCCGUGGCCACGAGUGGAAGAAGCUGUAGAUAACGGCUGCUCAAGUUCUGGAUUGUGUGUAGGACAGCACUUAAAGAGCUCCAUCAUUGCUGAUUGGACCUUAAGCUUAAGUUCUUCAAUAUCCAUGUCUUUAGUAACUUGAAUUGGAUCACCAUAAGCAACGUAAGCAGUUCCCAAAUCAAGAAGAGGUUCUCCUAAGGGCCAGAGAGACCAAUUAUUAUGGGAAACAACUGGAAGAAUUUCAGACUCAUGCUCAAUUGCAAAUUUAAAGAAGCCAUUUUUGAAUGGCUGUAAUCUUCUAAGUUUAGACCUAGUUCCUUCUGGAUAAAUUACUUGACCAAUACCCAACUUUUGAAGUUCUGCGCAUCUAUUAAACAUGGGUUCAAUUGUACCACUCUUGAUUCCCCAUCCGCCUUUCUCCUUUGUGAAGUAAAUUGGAAGAUCAUAAGUUAAUGAUAUAGCACAAUUUACAAUGGGUACUUUAAGUAAGUCAGCUUUGUAUACAUAUUUAAAUUCCCAAGGAAAAUGAGUUGAAGAAAUUAUCCAAGGAUCAGCUGUUGAUAAAUGGUUAGUCAUUAUAAGAGUGUUACUCGGCUUAUAGUUUCUUUUCGGCUCCCUAGUUAUUUUAACUGUCCAAAAAGGAUUUGUCCAAAUUACUAGAAGAGCAUUCCAGAAUCUAAAAGCUUGUCCCAUAAUUAUUAUCUUGAAUUUUUCAUUAUAAAGAAGGUAAGGGAACAGAAAUAUCCAAAGUAAAAUUUGAGUAAUUAAUCCCAAAAUAAUUGAAAUACAAAUCAUUGAAUAAGUGUAAACUGUUACAAUAAAUCUUAACCAUUUUGGGUUUGAAGACUUUCUAAUCGAAGUCAUUGUUUGCUCCUCUGCCAUUCUUUUAAAAUUUCUCAAGUAAUAUCAGCAAGCUCCUGUUAGAAUCAAUGAUUUUCUUCAAAUAAUUUCCACUGAUGAAUUAAAAAGAAAAAAGGUUAAUUCCAAAUAUUCUUUUAAACAACUACAGCUUUAUUAUUGUUAUUAUUGCUACUAUUAUUUUCCCUCUUUUAAGGUUGUAAAUUCUUAAUGGAAAAAUAGUACCUAUUUGGAGACUUGCCCGCCAAUUACGUGGGGUAUAAAUGUAAAUAUAAAUUUUACAUGAUAAUUGAAAGAAAAAAAAAUUGAAAAAAAAAAUAUAUAUAAUAAUAUAUUGAGAUACAAAAUUUUAUCAACCAAGUUUUGAUUAUUAUUUUAAGCUGGAGAUCUCAUUUUAUUCUUGACUUUUUACAACAAAUUAUCAUUUAAUGUAAUCAAGAAAAAGAUAUUAAGUUCAAGUAACGUUAAGGGAAC